UCCAGGCGCUUCCGCUUCCAGGCGCUUCCGCUUCCAGGCGCGCGGUGCUAGUACCGGCCCCCGGGCUGGGAACACCUCCAGGCCAGCGCUUUAGCAUCAUCCGAGGCUCUCCGCUUCCUCAGGGGGACCCGAGUUCUUCCACGCGACUCGUAGGCCCCGCCAUCCUCGCUGGGCUCUCCCUGCAACCCUUGCCGCCAUCCUUCGGGCUGGCCGAUGUCCCUGCCUUGUCUGUGGCUCGUUCCCAGCUGCGUGGCCUCUGCAUCCUGCAAGAAGCCUGGGCCUGGCUGUCCUCACAGUGCGGCCGCUGCAGGCUCACACGGUUCUCUCCUCUACAGGCUCCUCUGAGAGGCGAUGCCUGGGAGUGUAAACCAUGCGAGUGUUCCUCUGCGGUUCCCCAAUUCCUAGCCCGACGCCUUGCACAGAGCGGGUCAUUCAAUGCAUGAAUGAAGAAAAGAGGAACCAAGGGGGGAAUUACGGAUGGAAAGCCAGUACUUGCUAUGGACCCCAGAGUGGAGAUUCUCUACAGAAUGACUAUUUGUGAGAAGGAUCUGAGCGGCCACUUCCAGAAAGAAGUGCAGCUGGAUAGGUGGAAUGUUUCUCAGUGGGGCCACUUGCACUGCAUGUGAGAUGUCCUGAGAGGAGCCAGUGGCCCUGGAAAAGGAAGGUUUGCUUUCUAAGAGAAGCUCCAAUGAGGACGUCACUGCUUUAUGGCGCUAAGAGUCUCUAGAUCCUUAAUUUUGCCCAUGGUGUCAAACUUCGCAAGGCUUGGAGCCUGACGUGAGUGAUAUUCCUGCCAUUUCAGUGAGAAAGAGCAUUUUGGAGAGAAGAGUAGCAUCUC
rnacentral:lncRNA from 1 species